CAGCCGCCGCGGGAAUACGGAGGGUGCAAGCGUUAAUCGGAAUUACUGGGCGUAAAGCGCACGCAGGCGGUUUGUUAAGUCAGACGUGAAAUCCCCGAGCUUAACUUGGGAACUGCAUUUGAAACUGGCAAGCUAGAGUCUUGUAGAGGGGGGUAGAAUUCCAGGUGUAGCGGUGAAAUGCGUAGAGAUCUGGAGGAAUACCGGUGGCGAAGGCGGCCCCCUGGACAAAGACUGACGCUCAGGUGCGAAGGCGUGGGGAGCAAACAGGAUUAGAUACCCGGGUAGUCCCUGUCUCUUAUAA
rnacentral:rRNA from 1 species